GGCCUCAAAUCAGGUAGGACUACCCGCUGAACUUAAGCAU
rnacentral:rRNA from 1 species